AUUCGCGGCAAGGGCGGGGCCACCACCGAGCUUGAGCGUCCGCUUGCGAGUUUGCGGUCUGUACUUGCCGAGCGAGCGGACUCAGAGGCCAGCAAGACAGACAGGCAGGCAGGCGGUCAGGCAGGCAGGCAGGCAGCUACGCAGCCACGCAGGCAGGCAGCCACGCAGGCAGGCAGCCACGCAGGCAAGCAGCCACGCGUGCCCCACGGCCGAGCGACGGUUGACGCGUGGAGAGCGAAACCCACGGCGACGUCACUCCAACGAGCGGACAAAGCAAAACGGAACACGAGACUCCGGAAGAGUGUCCGUCCGUCCGGCCGGCCACCGCACUUCCGGCAUGUCGCUGCCCGGCUCCCCCGCGCUUUACCACUUGCCAGCGGAGAAAGUCCACGCUUCAGCGGCUCCCGGCGAAAGCUCCAGCCCCACGCAGCCGCACUCGCUUUCGCCGCGGCUCAGCGGCGGCACCGCGCUCGUUGGCUUCCUGCCCGCCGCGGGAUGCGCGCUGGCCGGCUUGGGCAACGGCGGCGUCACCCCGCUGGUGCCCGGGCUGCAGGGCGGACUGGGUUCCCUAGGCUCGCCGACCUUGCCGGGGCCAGGGCCAGGGCCAGGGCCAGGGCCGUGUGGCGAGUGCAAGCUGGUGGAGCUGCACGGCGUCAAGGUGGCCAGCUUCAGCGUGCACGGCCAGGAGCUGAUCUGCCUGCCGCAGGUGUUCGACCUCUUCCUGAAGCACCUGGUGGGCGGCCUGCACACGGUCUACACCAAGCUCAAGAGGCUGGACAUCACGCCGGCGGUGUGCACCGUGGAGCAGGUCCGUGUGCUGCGGGGGCUCGGCGCCAUCCAGCCCGGGGUCAACCGAUGCAAGCUCAUCUCCAGGAAGGACUUUGAGAUCCUCUACCAGGACUGCACCAGCGCCAGCUCUCGUCCGGGUCGUCCUCCCAAGCGCUGUUCUUUGGGCGCCGGUGGCGACAGCCCGAGGCUUCUUCACCCGGGCCUGCUGUCCCCCAACCUGCUCUCUCACACUGGCCUUACAGCGGCCGCCAUGGCUGAGCUCCAGAAGCUGCACAAGAUGAAGAUGAUGAUGAGGCUGCAGAACGGAAACGAAUCGGACAAUGACGACCUGCACUCCAACGCGGGAGGGAGUGAGUGCUCCUGGGACAAGGAGCGCCCAAGCGACAGACCCGGAGAAGGAGCGGCGGCAGCGGCAGGGCGGGCCCUGGCUUUGGGAGCCCUCAGCCAGCAGCAGCUGGCCAACAGACUGGAGCUGCCCUUUGUGAUGAUGCCCCACCCGUUGCUGCCCGUGGGCCUGCCGCCCGUGGGCCUGCCGCCCGCCUCCGUCGUCAUGGCCAUGUCGCAGAUGAACCAGCUCGGCACUAUCGCCAACAUGGCCGCCGCCGCUCAGCAGAUCCACCUGCGCCAGACGCCCGUCAUCAAGGAGCGCGCGUGCCGCAGUCCCUCGCCCUCUGUCGACGAGACGGACACUCCUCGGCGGUCGCGGACCAGUAGCUCCACAUCCGGCUCGCCGGAAAGACUCGGAAAACUUGAAAUCAAUGGCAUGCUUCCGAUUGAAUCGGUUGGGUUCUCCCUCUUCAGGCCCGCUGUCGACGGACGCUGCGACGCCCGCGGAGAACAUGGCAAAGGACAAAGAAGACCAAGCCUCGCCGGGUCGAGCCCCGCCCGCCACCUUCCCCGCCCCGUUUCUUUUCGCCGACAGCCUGUCGUCUGUGGAGACGCUCCUCACCAACAUACAGGGCCUCCUGAAGGUGGCGGUGGAGAACGCCCGCGUGCAGGACAAGCAGAUCCAGGCGGAGAAAAGGGAGCUGAAGAUGGAGCUGGACCGCGAACGAGAGAUGAGAGAGAGCCUGGAGCGCCAGCUGACCUCGGAACUGCAGAGCAGAGUGUCCUUCCAGAAACGUCUGAAGAAGGAGAAGAAGGCCAAGAGGAAGCUGCAGGAGGCACUGGAGUUUGAGUCCAAGCGCAGACGGCAGCCGGGGGGUGAGGACGCCCGGGAACUCUCGCCCGAGCCCGACGAUGCCGCCUCCCUUUGACCGGCAGGACCGACUCGACGGGAACCCCCGAGACAAGAAUCUCGGGAAUUCCUGAAGACCACCGUCACGUUCUAGAAACGUGAUAUCGGCCCAACGCCACGGCAUCCUCCUCAACAAAUCUUUGCCUCGGACGGACGGACGGACGUCGGGCGGGGCGGGGCGGAGCGCAGCAAAACAUGACCUUGUUUUCUGUGCGCAUGCUGGCGCAAGUGGCGGAUUUGGAACUACGGGAGCCCACCUCAUGGGCUGGCCCGCUCCGAUUGGACGGGAGUCAAGCCAACGCCACAAGGAGACUCUUGAACAAAAGAACUUUCUUUGUCUUGUGUCUCACUUCAUUCCUUUUCUGUGGUUUGACUCCUCCAGUUUUGUUUGGAGUGUUUUUGUGUGGGGAAAAAAGCAAAGUUAUUCUCGCCCGUUCUCUGUGAAUCGGAGAAGAACGGCAGGCAGGCACGAAUUGGUCGCCCUUGCCUUUCCUCAGCCAGCGAUGGGUGUCUCCUCCUUCCUCGCUUAUAGUCGAUGUCCCCCUAAUGGAGAGCUGAGCGUGCGACGGACGGACGAACCGCCGUAUGAGAAGGGAUGGACGAGAGAUGAUGGAGGAAACGAGGAAGGAUGGAGAGGGGACGGCGUGGAGGAUGUGAGUAACCGCAACCGACAAACACUUCAAGGUAACGGCGGCCAUGGCCAGGCCUGAACCACUUCCAAAAAUGAACCAAAAAUCAAAUCGCCAUUGUUUUAUUCCCCCUCAAUAUUGUGAUUGCCGUGUCAAGGUCCUAAUUCCAUGUUUUUUGGGGUGUUUUCUUUUUUUUUUUUUUUAUACAAGCACAGCAAUAAAUAAAGCCCGAUUACAAUUC